rnacentral:rRNA from 1 species
AUUGAACGCUAGCGGGAUGCCUUACACAUGCAAGUCGAACGGCAGCACGGACUUCGGUCUGGUGGCGAGUGGCGAACGGGUGAGUAAUGUAUCGGAACGUGCCUAGUAGCGGGGGAUAACUACUCGAAAGAGUAGCUAAUACCGCAUACACCCUACGGGGGAAAGGGGGGGAUCGCAAGACCUCUCACUAUUAGAGCGGCCGAUAUCGGAUUAGCUAGUUGGUGAGGUAAAGGCUCACCAAGGCGACGAUCCGUAGCUGGUUUGAGAGGACGACCAGCCACACUGGGACUGAGACACGGCCCAGACUCCUACGGGAGGCAGCAGUGGGGAAUUUUGGACAAUGGGGGCAACCCUGAUCCAGCCAUUCCGCGUGUGCGAUGAAGGCCUUCGGGUUGUAAAGCACUUUUGGCAGGAAAGAAAUCGCACGGGUUAAUAACCCGUGUGGAUGACGGUACCUGCAGAAUAAGCACCGGCUAACUACGUGCCAGCCGCCGCUGUAAAAC